rnacentral:rRNA from 1 species
GAUGAACGCUAGCUACAGGCUUAACACAUGCAAGUCGAGGGGAAACGACAUCGAAAGCUUGCUUUUGAUGGGCGUCGACCGGCGCACGGGUGAGUAACGCGUAUCCAACCUGCCCAUCACUUGGGAAUAACCUUGCGAAAGUAAGACUAAUACCCAAUGACAUCCCACGAAGACAUCUGAAUGGGAUUAAAGAUUUAUCGGUGAUGGAUGGGGAUGCGUCUGAUUAGCUUGUUGGCGGGGUAACGGCCCACCAAGGCAACGAUCAGUAGGGGUUCUGAGAGGAAGGUCCCCCACAUUGGAACUGAGACACGGUCCAAACUCCUACGGGAGGCAGCAGUGAGGAAUAUUGGUCAAUGGGCGAGAGCCUGAACCAGCCAAGUAGCGUGCAGGAUGCCGGCCCUAUGGGUUGUAAACUGCUUUUAUAAGGGAAUAAAGUGGGUCUCGUGAGACUUUUUGCAUGUACCUUAUGAAUAAGGACCGGCUAAUUCCGUG